rnacentral:rRNA from 1 species
UACGAAGGGGGCUAGCGUUGUUCGGAAUUACUGGGCGUAAAGCGUGCGCAGGCGGCUUCUCAAGUCAGGGGUGAAAGCCCCAGAGCUCAACUCUGGAAUUGCCUUUGAGACUGAGUGGCUUGAGUACGGGAGAGGUGAGUGGAAUUCCCAGUGUAGAGGUGAAAUUCGUAGAUAUUGGGAAGAACACCGGUGGCGAAGGCGGCUCACUGGCCCGUAACUGACGCUCAUGCACGACAGCGUGGGGAUCAAACAGG